rnacentral:rRNA from 1 species
GAAGCCGCGAAUGGCUCAUUACAACAGCCAUAGUUUCUUAGAUCUUACUUUUCUACUUGGAUAACUGUGGUAAUUCUAGAGCUAAUACACGCAAACAAGCUCAGACCUUACGGAAUGAGCGCAUUUAUUAGAACAAAAACCAAUCGGAUCUCGGUCCGUCAUUUGGUGAAUCUGAAUAACUUUGCUGAUCGCACGGUCAUCGUACCGGCGACAUAUCUUUCAAAUGUCUGCCUUAUCAACUUUCGAUGGUAGUUUAUGCGCCUACCAUGGUUGUAACGGGUAACGGAGAAUAAGGGUUCGACUCCGGAGAGGGAGCCUGAGAAACGGCUACCACAUCCAAGGAAGGCAGCAGGCACGCAAAUUACCCACUCCCAGCACGGGGAGGUAGUGACGAAAAAUAACGAGACGGCUCGCUAUGCGGUCCGUCAUCGGAAUGGGUACAAUUUAAAUCCUUUAACGAGGAUCUAUU